CAGGGGAGGUCGGGAAGGAAGAUGGCGGCGCCCAGUCUCCGGCCCGGAGGAGCUGAGAGCGCAGGGCCCCGCUCCUCAGUGCGCCCUCGGCUCAGUCCCUCCCGGCUCCCUGGUCUCCGGCCGCGCUCUGAGCUCACCCGGCCUGUGCCCGAGUGUUUCUGUCUCUGGCGCGGCCCCUUUUGGAGUCUCCAACCCCAGCAGAUUCUUGCCGUGCACGCCUGUCGCACUCCGGGCAGAGGAAGGAGGGGUCUCCAUGGAUCUGCCGCUUGUGUGGUCCCUGCUCGAAGAGCAGUGUCCCGCCUGUGCAUCGCAUCACGGUUUACGAAUGGCUGCUCCUCUUCUCUUCGAUGUCCUGGGAACAGUGGCCUCCGACACUGCUCCCCUCUCCUGGGAACGGAGGCCCAAGGACAUUCCCCUCCUCGCUGCUGCCACCGUCUCCAGCCACCCCCAGAAUAAAAUCUUACUUUCAUCUAUUUCAAGUUAAUUUUUGCGAGCGUUGAAUGAGAGGAGUCCAGUUUCAGAAACCAGUCCUGUCACUGCCCUGGAUGUCGGCCAGUCCCAUAAACGUGUAGUGGUUCCUCACUCUGAUCUUCAUCUCCCUGGUGCUGCAUGAUGUGGACCGUUUUUCACAUGCUUAUUUGUCAUCUGUAUCUCUCCUGUGAUGAGGUGUCUGGCAACAUCUUUGGCCCGUUUUUAAAUUGGCUUCUUGCCUUAUCACUGUGUUAUAAGAGUUUUUCUCUUUUGGAUCAUGGCACCGCAGCAGACAUGGUUUGUCUUCUCAAUCUCUUGACCGUGCCUUUCCCAGAACCAAGGUUUCUAGUUUGAAUCAAGCCCACAUUAUGGAUGUAUUCCUUCAUGGGUUGUGACUUUGGGGUCAGAGCUCAAGAGUCAUCGCCUUGCCAAUGGUCACCUGGGUUUUCUCCUGAGUCAUCUUCUGGAAACCUUAGAAUUUCGCACUUGAGGCCAUAGUUCUAUCCUGAGUUGAUUCUGUGUCUGGAUUCAGCUUGUUUCUCUGCGAGGAUGUCCAGUUGUUCUAGCACCAUUUGCUGAAAAGAGACAGUCUUUGCUCCAUUGUUUCCUGUUUUGUUGGAGAUGAGUUGACAGUGUUUAUAUGGGUCUAUUUCUGGGCUCUGUACCGUGUCCAUCGAUCUCCGUGUAUGUUCUCACCAAUGCCACGCUGUGUUCACAGGUUGAAGUCAGGUACCAUCAGUCCUAUAAUCCUAUUCUGUGCCUUUUUUCUUUUUAAAAGACUUUAUUUAUCUGAGAGAGAGAGAGAGAGAGAGCACAUGAGCGGGAGAGGCAGAGGGAGAGGGAGAAUCCCAGCACUGCCCGGUGAGCCGGGAGCCCAUGUGGGGCUCGAUCUCACGACCCUGAGAUCAUGACCGGAGCUGAAGCCAAGAGCUGGAUGCUUAACUGACUGAGCCACCCGGGUGCCCCUUAGUCUGUUCCUUUAAUAUCGUGUUGACUGUUGUGGGGUUUUGCUUCUCUGUAUAACCUUUAGAUUCACUUUGUUAAUGUUUACAAAGGAACCUGCUGGGAUUUCCCUGGGAUUGUGCCGAUGCAUAGAUCAGUUCGGGAAGAACUGACACCUUGACGAUGUUGAGUCUCACUGUUCAUGACACGGAAUACCUAUCUAGUUCUUUGAUUUCGUUUAUCAGAGUUUUAUAGUUUUUCUCAUAUAGAGCUUGUCAUACUUUGUUAGAUUUAUACCUAAAUAUUCCAUUUUGGGGGUUGUAAUGUAAAUGGUAUUGUGUUCCAAAUUCCCCUCGUUAAAGGGAG
rnacentral:lncRNA from 1 species